UGAGCAGAGACGCAGCCAGGACUUGAUUAGAAAGCAAGAGACUACUAUUAUGGUGGGGAAGCCCAAGCUGCACUACUAUGAUGGACGGGGCAGAAUGGAGGCCAUCCGGUGGCUCUUGGCUGCAGCUGGAGUAGAGUUCGAAGAGAUAUUUUUGGAAUCAGCAGAAGAUUUGGAUAAGUUAAGAAAUGAUGGGCGUCUGAUGUUCCAGCAAGUGCCAAUGGUCGAGAUUGAUGGGAUGGAGCUGGUGCAGACAAGAGCCAUCCUCAACUACAUCGCCAGCAAGUACAACCUCUACGGGAAGGACUUAAAGGAGAGAGCCCUGAUCGACAUGUAUGUGGAAGGCAUGGUGGAUUUGAACGAAAUCAUCAUCAUGCUGUUCACGCAUCCACCUGAGGAGCAAGUCGCCCAGCUGGCCUUGCUCAAAGAGAAAACAACCAAUCGCUAUUUCCCGGCCUUCGAAAAAGUGUUAAAGAGCCACGGACAAGACUACCUUGUUGGCAACAGGCUGAGCCGGGCUGACAUUCACCUGGUCGAACUUAUCUACAACUUGGAGGAGUUUGACCCCAGCCUCACCGCCAACUUCCCUCUGCUGAAGGCCCUGCAAACCAGAAUCAGCAACCUCCCCACCGUGAAGAAGUUUCUGCACUUCCGUGAAGAAAAAACCUUUUUGCCACAUGCCAUCAACUCCUGUAUUUGUUUGCCUGAGAUGAGUACAACUUCUAAAUCCAUAGCAAUCUCUCCCCAGAGGUCUGCAAGGUGA